ACGGUGCCCGUUGCCAUGGCAAACAGCCAUUUACUGAGAGUCAAGCAGAUCAUUCCAGAACCCGUGCCCCACUGGUUACCCUGUGACCGAGCACAGUGAAUAGGCUACGCUUUGAAGAUGCCAAGUCCCGAACCCGCAUCUGGGCUCAGUGUGUGACCUCCCCUCUGACAGGCAGUGCUCACGCUCCUGCUUUGCACCUGGACAAAGCUUUCGCUUCACCUGCUGUUCUGGGAGAAGGAAGUGUGAUGUUCAGAUGCUCACAGCCCCUCGGCCUUAGAAAAGAGCGUUACUCUCUGUGCUGAUGAGGCUGAAUCCCUGGCUCUGAGCUGUCACUGAAGGCCAAUCCUGAGCUAGUUUUCCUGCUGGGCCUUGCGUGUCCCCACAUCAGACACUCAAGGGCAACUCACUGGUCAGUGACUAAGGUUGGAUUUUUGUUUUGUUGGGGCAACCAGAAUGUCUCCCUUUUUUGGGCUCCUUGGUGGAUAGAAUGGGGUAUAGUAUAGCAAGGGUUCAGCACAGGGCCCCGCCCCAGGGAGGGGCAAAAUGCAUGCCUGUCCCUGUUUAUUAUCCUUAUUCCCUUCCUCGCCUCCCCCUCCAUCCCCUACACUCUCCUCUGCCCUUUGUUUCCCCGCAAAGGACUCCAGAAACUUGAAAGAGAGCCUAGAGGGUUUCCUGGGGGUGGUGUUCCUAUAACCAAAGCUGGUUGUAUGUAUUUUCCAAUAAAAUAAUGGCCCCUAUUUCUAGAGUGUCUACUGUAUGCCAUGCAUGGGCUAUGUGCUUCUCACUUGAUUCUUAUUGCAACCUUUAAGGUUUUAUUAUCCUUAUUUUUCAGAUGAGGAAAUUCAGAUGAGACUCAGAGAAAUUAAGUAACUUACCCAAGAUCACAUAGGCUAUUUGGACCUGGGAAGUCUUAUUCCAGAGCUUGGGCAUUUGCCCCACAUGCAGUCCUUUUUUGUUGUCAUAUUUGUGUUUGUAUUUGCUUUGGGCCUCUUCCCAGCUCCCCUUCACACCCCUCUCCCAGGUUCCCCUGAGUAGCAGUGCCCGCCUUCCUCAGGGACACGGGGCACUUCCUGCCUCUGCUCCCUUUUGACUCCUCUCUGCCCUCAGUAAGGCAGUGGCCACUUGACCAGCCAGUGGACCACACCUUCCAGUCCACUGAAUGAACAUGGAAAGAGAAGAGAAAGAAAGGAAACAAGCCCAAGUGUGAGACCGACUGGGGCCACAGCCAUGUGGUCGUCAGGCUCAUGAGAAGGGAGAAGGCCCUAGGACCAAGGGGAAUGGGGCAGGUGUGGUCCUGGCAAGGCCAGCUGUCCAGGGUCCAAUGGCAAGCUCUGGGCAGUCUGGGGCGCAAGCUGCAGCCUCUAGGGAAGGGCUGGAAAAACUCCAGCAGAAUGUUAGGUCCCCACCUCAGCAGACUAAGGGGAAUUCGAGCUGGGCUUGAGGUCUGUAGGGCAACAGAGUGCUGGGUAGGGAAACUGAGUCAGGGAUCUUGUCCUCCAUGCUGGGUCAACUCAUGGGUCCCCAUGCAGGCUUCUGACUCCCAGAGUGACCUGGCUAUACAAGCCUUAGGCCCAUGGGCAAUAGAAUUUUACCCCAGCCCCAGGGGCUGGCAUUACUCAGGCUGCCAAGACACUUGCUGCCCGUCAGAAUGGUCUCAGACCUGGGUAGUGCUGAGUGUGCAUGGGCAUUCCAGCUUGGGGAGCAGGGAGGAAAAAUUGGGUGAGAAGAGAUGAAGAUGGCGCCUCUCAGCACCCUAAUUCUCCCACCACAGGAUCCUGGCUACACAGAGCUCUCCCUCCCCAACAUAUUAUCCAGGGCUCCCAGGCCCCCCGAAACUACUAUUCAAGAGCACGUAGGGGUGGCGUCACCUAGGGCUUUGGAGGGAAGAACCUGAUAACUUGAUUGCAGGACUUCAUACUAAAGUGUCAAGGACUACUUGUUUUUUUCAAAAAGGGUCUAAGAACCUCAAAGAAGCCCCUCCUUGGUGUGAUGUGGGGCUGGGGGUGUUGGUGAAGCUGGGGGAUGCUAUACACACCCUGAUCACUUCCUGGGCGCUUGUCCCGUAGUUCUGGCCUAUUAUGAAUUCACACAUUGUGACGUGGCUCUCCCAGACUGAGAGGCUGGCUACAGAAAAAGCCGCAGGGAGAGACGAGGGAGGCCACGCCUCAGGGGCUCUUUGCUGUCUGGCUCCAUGGGUGACGUUCAUUAUCCCUAAACCCCCAGCGCUGGAAGUCAGCCACGCCGGCCUCUGCCUGCAGCUGUGGACGCCCAUCCCUGCUCCACCAGCUUCUUUCCACCUGAUGACCGCUGCCGCCUGCACAGGAAGAUGGAUGGCUGCUGUCAUCCAGGCAGAUUGUCAACUCUCCGAAGACAAGCCCCAGCAAACAGCACAGAGACCUGAGGGAGUUUGCUGGCUGUGCUUUGAUAGAAAAUGAGCAGAAUUGCUGGAAUCAUUAUUGUUAUAAUGCAGAAGAAUUGAUAUAUUUUCUUCAGGUGCCGUCUACUGCAGUGAGAUGUACCACACUGAGCAGAUGUAUCACGUGCUCGUUGUGCUGGAGAAAGAGCAUGCUUGUGGAUUGAAUUUGCUUUUUAUAAUUUAGCUACCACUACUGUAAAAGGGUCAAUUUCACCCCUGGGAGUCUCUCUUUGGAAGGAGGAACCAUCACCAAAGAACCUUAUGCUUGUUGAAAUUCUUCCUGCACUUACCUGUCAGCCCAAGCUUCUGAAGUUGUCCUCAGGGGGUCCUCACAUCAGUGGGCAAAGCAGCACAAACUCAUGUGGUGAGGUCAGAAGUCCUUUUAUAACAUACUGUAACCAUGGUGACACCCCUUAAAGUCAAAUUUCGGAGACAUCUAUUGGAGCAAACAUUUUGUAAGCUCAUCUUUAAAGAUCUUGUGAGAGGCCUUGCCCCAGUGAUGAAUCACUUGAUAAAAACAUACGAAAGAAAGGAAAAUCAACACAUCCCUCUCUUUAACUUGGAUUUUCCUUUUCUGAGGAAGCAUCUGAAUCAGGAAGGUUUGAGUUGUAAGGGACAGAAACUGUAAGGAAACGAGGCCUAAAUAACAAGUAGCCCAGAGUUAGGGCAGUGCCAAAGACUCACUAUGGGAUGGCUACUCAGUAACAUCUGGGACACAGGCUUUUCCCAACCUGUCCUCUUCAAAAUGUUGGUUUGUCCUGUUGUCAGCUCCCCUCAUGGUCCCAAGAUGGCGGCAGCAGUUCUAAGAGUCUAGUGGCAUAAAAAAGGGAGGCAUCAUCUCAUGAGUUUCUUAUAAAGAGGAGAGAAGCCGUUUCAGAAAGCCCCAGCAGCCUCUUCACAUUUCACUGGCCAUAACUGUGUUAUAUGCUCUCUCCUAAACCGAUCGCCAGUAAACUACAGUUGGCUUAGAUGAAUGGAGAUUUGCCCCUUGAGGUUGAAGAAGAUACCUUCUCUGAGCACUUGUCUGGGCUGGGCAUAGGGUGAACUCCUGAAAAUAAAAUCAAGGCUCUACCAGCGGGAAAGAAUGGCAGGGGACAUGGAUUUGGGUAAACAACCAUUAGAAUUUGCCAUUAAUAAUCAUAUAUUCAUGGUAAUGAAAAAUUUCUUGAAAUUCUGAAAUCAAAGGGUGGGACAGUCAACUGUUGGUACAAAAGUGCUGCAUAACAAACAAUCACAAAAUUUCAGAGGAACUGAAAAAUAAUUAACUCAUUGGUCUGUGGAUCAGCUGGUGGUUGUCUAAUCUAGACUGUUUGGCUGGGGUGGCUCAGCCCCACCUGACUCUCAUCCUCUUCCUGUGCCCAGCAUGUUCUUCUUAUGGAGGUGGCAGAGGGGCAGGGGCCCAAGCCCCAGAGACCAAGCCUGUUUCAAAGCUCUGCUUGCAUGGUAUCUGCUAAUAUCCCAUUGGCCAAAGCAGGUCACGUGACCAAAUUCAACAUCACGAGGCUCCACCCAUUUAGUGGGAAGUGCUGCAGAGUUAAAGGGCUGAGGGCCUGGAUGCAGGGAAGGGUGAUGAGUUGAUGCAGUCUACCACAAGGGGAAACAAAAUGUUGUCAAAAAGAAAAUUAAGGGCAACUUUAACAAUACUCUUAUUUUUAAACUGCACUUUAAAGAUACAAAGACUUUCUUUAGAAUAUAAAAGAACUUGGGGAUGUUCAGGUGAAUAUAAACAUUAAAAAUUUGUGUGUGUGUGUAUAGGUUGCAAAGGGUCUUAAAAAGCAGAUUUUUCUAGCUCUGAAUAACCCACUGUGUGUGGUUAUAUUAACACCUCAUAUCAGGGUAUCAGUUUCCUCAGAGCUAACUGUUCCCAUCGCCCCCUCUCCCUCUUCUACAAAGCAAUACCUGUGGUCUAUACUGUGGAAAUAAAUGAAGACACCACUUAAAUGAGAAUAAACAAGCUGUUUAUUUAGAGCAGAAACUCAAAGGCAAGUGGAGGAGAGGAAAGCUUUUCAAAGGCUGCAGGUGUGCCCUGAUUGGAGGUUGUCGUCCUGAGGAAGCCGGAAGCAGGUAACUAGAAAUAGGGCAUUUUACGUGAUUGGUCCUGAAUUGGAAGCAGGGACAAAAAAUUGGGGAGCUGGGAGGCGUUGACCGAGUCCUGACCUUUCUGGCCAGAUUGCUGCCGAGGCUGUGGUUUGGAUUUCCCCGCACGUGGCUGCAGAGGUUGUGGUCUGAGUUCUACGGCCACCUGUGAUCUGAACUUUGUCCAUGUGUGUGUUCGGUCUCUCAGGACCCAUCUGAGAAAGCCCCAACUCCUCGGCAUGGCGUAAAGACCCCUUCACUCUCCAAACAACACUUCUGGCCCCCACUCCUGACAUCAGUGGUGCCAGCAAUCCCCCCACCCGUUUCUCUCCCAGACGCAGACCGCUCCCAGCUCAGCAGCCCGGCCUCAGCGGGACCUCCGCCGCACGCUCCCAGAGCCCAACAUGUCCUCCUCAGGUCGUGCCUUCCAUUGCUUUACACCUGUCCAUGGAGUCAGCUCAAGAGUCCCCACCCCUGUGCCUUCUCUCGAGCUUUUCUUCCACCUCAACUGGCUCUUCCCCAUACAGAACUGCUGCUGCUUCUGUGUCCCCCAAAUCAUUUGCAUAAAUAUUUAUUAGGACAGGGAUGGAUCUCAUUGUGCAGAAGGCCUCUGUUACUGUUUGUCUCCUCCCCUAGGCUGUGAAUACCUUGAAGGCAAGCAGUAUGCUUUAUUUUUGCCUACUAUAAGAGAGUAGACUUUUUGGA